GCAGGAUUCAUCAGUGGGAAGCUGUGCCAUUUCUGUGUAAUUUCAGUGAGGGAAGAGGAGAACAUUGAAUAUUUUUCCAGCCUUACAAUUUAAUAGCCAGCUUGUCAAUGAUAAAGGGGGGGAGGAUGUUCUAGAAAUGAAGAAGAUGCAAGAAAUCACACAUCACUUCACGCAACCAUCUUCAGGUCUGAUCAUGCUCCCUGUGGGAUCACUUGAGGUUUCCUCAUCAUUUCUGCAGGGACCCAACUGUGUAAUGACGGCUGGGUUUCAUCUGCAUGAUUUUGGGAGCUGAAGGGAUUGUGUUCUCCACAGCUUAUUACUGUGGGCUGGACAGGCCCAGAGGCUCUGGACACGUGACAGCACGGGUGGACAGAGCAGCUCGUGACACAGGGGGUGACGAACCUGACCCCUUGCAAGGUAGGAGACCGGCAAAGACCCCUGCCCUGCACCCACAGAGCUGCUGCCAGGCACCUGCUCUGACUCCAGCUUCUCUCCCACUUCUUCCCAGAUUUGCAGUAACUUUUUUUAGCCCUUCAUGUCGCCUGCCUGGGUCUUAAUUUGAUUUACAAUACACGUGCUGCCAGGCUACCUGAAAUAUAUUGAAAGAAACAACA